AGUGAACGCUGGCGGUAGGCCUAACACAUGCAAGUCGAACGGCAGCACAGUAAGAGCUUGCUCUUACGGGUGGCGAGUGGCGGACGGGUGAGGAAUACAUCGGAAUCUACUUUUUCGUGGGGGAUAACGUAGGGAAACUUACGCUAAUACCGCAUACGACCUACGGGUGAAAGCAGGGGAUCUUCGGACCUUGCGCGAUUGAAUGAGCCGAUGUCGGAUUAGCUAGUUGGCGGGGUAAAGGCCCACCAAGGCGACGAUCCGUAGCUGGUCUGAGAGGAUGAUCAGCCACACUGGAACUGAGACACGGUCCAGACUCCUACGGGAGGCAGCAGUGGGGAAUAUUGCACAAUGGGCGCAAGCCUGAUCCAGCCAUACCGCGUGGGUGAAGAAGGCCUUCGGGUUGUAAAGCCCUUUUGUUGGGAAAGAAAAGCAGCAGGUUAAUACCCCACUGUUCUGACGGUACCCAAAGAAUAAGCACCGGCUAACUUCGUG
rnacentral:rRNA from 1 species